rnacentral:lncRNA from 1 species
GUCUUCUAAGAUGGCUGUGCACAGAAGCGUUCAUUGACCCUCAGCCAAUACCCCACCAACACUUUAAACUCCAUAAAAAUUGAAUUCAUUUUAUUUCCCAAUGAGUCAAACAGCACCCUUCAUGUCGCCUCUGCUGUUAAUGGUUACAAUUCACCCAGUCGCUGGAGGCAGAACAUUAAGAUAGUCACCCUCCGUUAGUUAUUUGUGUUUCUUUUCUAUUUACCUGUCAGAAUGCUGUGAAUAUGACCAUCCAAUUUUCCAGCAUAAAUUCCCAUCAACCACAUAUGGGAGACCCUUCCUGGAAAGAUGCUAGACGAGAUGCUAUUCGUACGCCUGCUCUGCCUUAGGGACCGUGCUGCAUCUUCUUCACACAGACUGGGAACUACUCCAGGUUGUUCUGAGACUCUCUAAUGCAUUGAGAAGCAAACUAACAAAAGAGAAAGAAAAGUAAAGAAAUCAAGGAGAGCACAAAAACAGCAAGAAAACAAGACAGAUAGAAAGAAACAGAGGAAAACAUACGAGAAAGAAAAGACCAGCACCAUAUCUUGCAGCUGAUAGAUAGGUUGGCCAGGCUCUCUAACACUCAAGCUCAGCCCUCUCCUAUUCAACUACAGCCAGCCUCUUUCAACUUUGACAAAGCAGGAAGUGAUUGGAGUAAAAUCUCAAGAAGCCACUUUGUAAGGAUGGAGUGAUCUAAGUACAUGUUACAUUAGUGAAGACUACAGAAAAUGUAGUGAUUCCUCUUUUGCAAAUGGGCUGUUAUGUGGUAUUGAUGUGCUCAUUAUACUCAGGCAGAAUGCAAUUAAACCUUCAAUAGAAAAAUCAUUUUUCCUCUUCACCUCCUCUGAUAGUUAUUUGGGAAUCUACUUCUGUGAUGCCCUUUCAGUAACUUGGAGAAUGAGAUGUUCCUCUGUGAGGACUCACCGAGGCAAAGAGGAGACAUCCAGUCUUCCAGUGCAGCAUCCAACACAAAGGCAGGCUGAUAAUAAGAAUGUUAUGUGGUGUCCUCAUCCAAGGCUCCUCCUCCAUGUCAAAAUGACCAUGAAAGGUAAACAUUUUUGAUUGAUUCAGGACUUCAAGGCUAGCACGAUGGUGCAACUAAAGACAAGAAAAAGAGCUUCUGAUGCUUCCUAAAUUUUCUCCUACCACAAGACCCAGGAAGGGGCGUCUGCCACCUUCUGUCACUUCUGGUCUCACCUGGACUCAUCGUACACAGCAGACGGUCCUGUGAGAAAAAUGUAUCCUUCCACAGAAACCCUCAGGAUCAUUUCUGUGACCUUUUAAAAGUAACUCAGUUUUCAACAGAUUGCAAAAUGUCC